rnacentral:rRNA from 1 species
GAUGAACGCUAGCUACAGGCUUGACACAUGCAAGCCAAGGGGCAUCAGGAAGAAAGCUUGCUUUCUUUGCUGGCGACCGGCGCACGGGUGAGUAACACGUAUCCAACCUGCCCUUUACUCGGGGAUAGCCUUUCGAAAGAAAGAUUAAUACCCGAUGGCAUGAUGAUUCCGCAUGGUUUCAUUAUUAAAGGAUUCCGGUAAAGGAUGGGGAUGCGUUCCAUUAGGUUGUUGGUGAGGUAACGGCUCACCAAGCCUUCGAUGGAUAGGGGUUCUGAGAGGAAGGUCCCCCACAUUGGAACUGAGACACGGUCCAAACUCCUACGGGAGGCAGCAGUGAGGAAUAUUGGUCAAUGGGCGCUAGCCUGAACCAGCCAAGUAGCGUGAAGGAUGAAGGCUCUAUGGGUCGUAAACUUCUUUUAUAUAAGAAUAAAGUGCAGUAUGUAUACUGUUUUGUAUGUAUUAUAUGAAUAAGGAUCGGCUAACUCCGUGCAGCAGCCGCGGUAAUACGGAGGAUCCGAGCGUUAUCCGGAUUUAUUGGGUUUAAAGGGAGCGUAGGUGGACUGGUAAGUCAGUUGUGAAAGUUUGCGGCUCAACCGUAAAAUUGCAGUUGAUACUGUCAGUCUUGAGUACAGUAGAGGUGGGCGGAAUUCGUGGUGUAGCGGUGAAAUGCUUAGAUAUCACGAAGAACUCCGAUUGCGAAGGCAGCUCACUGGACUGCAACUGACACUGAUGCUCGAAAGUGUGGGUAUCAAACAGG